rnacentral:rRNA from 1 species
GACAGAGGGGGCAAGCGUUGCUCGGAAUUACUGGGCGUAAAGGGCGCGUAGGCGGGAUGGCAAGUCGGUCGUGAAAUCCCUCGGCUCAACCGAGGAACGUCGAUCGAUACUGCUGUUCUUGAGGAUUGCAGAGGAGACUGGAAUUCCCGGUGUAGCGGUGAAAUGUGUAGAGAUCGGAAGGAACGCCCGUGGCGAAAGCGAGGUCCUGGACGUUUUCUGACGCUGAGACGCGAAAGCCAGGGGAGCGAACGGG